AUGGCCGGAGCCUCAGCACAUGAACUUUCUCAGACCUUUCACUGCUUCUCCGGCUCAGGCGAGACAAAGCAGAGACAUCAAUCUCCUUCGUCUCAUCCCGUUGAUUCAAGCCAAGUUGUCUACUCUACUAGGCCACGAAGCACGAGCUUUCCGGCUAGCUCGCGACGGACACCUUCCGGGAGUCUUGAUGCCAGCAACGGGCCUCCGAUCCCGACGAGAGCCGCUGCUGCCUCCGGGCUGCCUUCCUGGAGCAGAUGGCGUCGAGCUGCAUCUGCUCGUCGCGGCACUCCUCGCUGCAGAAGGGCGUGUCCCCUCUGUACAUGA
rnacentral:rRNA from 1 species